AUUGAACGCUGGCGGCAUGCCUUACACAUGCAAGUCGAACGGUAACAGGUCUUCGGAUGCUGACGAGUGGCGAACGGGUGAGUAAUACAUCGGAACGUGCCUAGUAGUGGGGGAUAACUACUCGAAAGAGUGGCUAAUACCGCAUGAGAUCUACGGAUGAAAGCAGGGGAUCGCAAGACCCUGUGCUACUAGCGCGGCCGAUGGCAGAUUAGGUAGUUGGUGGGAUAAAAGCUUACCAAGCCGACGAUCUGUAGCUGGUCUGAGAGGACGAUCAGCCACACUGGGACUGAGACACGGCCCAGACUCCUACGGGAGGCAGCAGUGGGGAAUUUUGGACAAUGGGCGCAAGCCUGAUCCAGCAAUGCCGCGUGCAGGAUGAAGGCCUUCGGGUUGUAAACUGCUUUUGUACGGAACGAAAAGCCCUGGGUUAAUACCCUGGGGUCAUGACGGUACCGUAAGAAUAAGCACCGGCUAACUACGUGCCAGCCGCCGCCGUAA
rnacentral:rRNA from 1 species